rnacentral:rRNA from 1 species
GUGGGGAAUAUUGCGCAAUGGGGGCAACCCUGACGCAGCAACGCCGCGUGUGUGAUGAAGGUCUUCGGAUCGUAAAGCACUGUCAGUGGGAACGAUGGAUCGGGAGGUUAAUAACCUGCCGGUUUGACGGUACUCGCAAAGGAAGCACCGGCUAACUCUGUGCCAGCAGCCGCGGUAAGACAGAGGGUGCAAGCGUUGUUCGGAAUCAUUGGGCGUAAAGCGCGCGUAGGCGGUUUGGUAAGUCGAAUGUGAAAGCCCGGGGCUCAACCCCGGAAGUGCAUCCGAAACUGCCAGACUUGAGUCCCGGAGAGGGUGGUGGAAUUCCUGGUGUAGAGGUGAAAUUCGUAGAUAUCAGGAGGAACAUCUGUGGCGAAGGCGACCACCUGGACGGAGACUGACGCUGAGGUGCGAAAGCGUGGGGAGCAAACAGG